UAACGAAUAUUCCGCAAUGGGCGAAAGCCUGACGGAGCAAUGCCGCGUGUGGGAUGAAGCGGUUUCGCCGUGUAAACCACUGUCAGGGGAUAGAAAAGAUGAUCAUCCCCAGAGGAAGGGGCGACUAACUCUGUGCCAGCAGUCGCGGUAAGACAGAGGCCCCAAGCGUUAGUCGGAAUCACUGGGCUUAAAGGGUGCGUAGGCGGGCGUGUAAGUGUCUCGUGAAAGCCCCGGGCUCAACCCGGGAACCGCGGGGCAUACUGCACGUCUCGAGGAAGCUAGAGGCCGGUGGAACGAUCGGUGGAGCGGUGGAAUGCGUAGAGAUCGAUCGGAACGCCAAGGGUGAAGACAACCGGCUGGGGCUUUCCUGACGCUGAGGCACGAAAGCGCGGGGAUCAAACAGGAUUAGAUACCCCUGUAGUCC
rnacentral:rRNA from 1 species